ACGAAAAGACCCUAUAAAUCUUUAUAUUUAGAUUAUUAUAAUUUUAUAGAUUUUUUUUGUUAUAAUAAUCAAUGAUAUUUUAUUGGGGUGAUAUUAAAAUUUAAUAAACUUUUAAUUGUUAAAAUCAUUAAUUUAUGAAUAAUUGAUCCGUUAUUAGCGAUUAAAAAAAUAAGUUACUUUAGGGAUAACAGCGUGAUUUUUUUGGAGAGUUCAUAUCGAAAAAAAGAUUGCGACCUCGAUGUUGGAUUAA
rnacentral:rRNA from 1 species